AUUGAACGCUGGCGGCAGGCCUAACACAUGCAAGUCGAGCGGUUGAAGGGAGCUUGCUCCCUGAUUCAGCGGCGGACGGGUGAGUAAUGCCUAGGAAUCUGCCUAUUAGUGGGGGACAACGUUUCGAAAGGAACGCUAAUACCGCAUACGUCCUACGGGAGAAAGCAGGGGACCUUCGGGCCUUGCGCCAAUAGAUGAGCCUAGGUCGGAUUAGCUUGUUGGUGAGGUAAUGGCUCACCAAGGCGGCGAUCCGUAACUGGUCUGAGAGGAUGAUCAGUCACACUGGAACUGAGACACGGUCCAGACUCCUACGGGAGGCAGCAGUGGGGAAUAUUGGACAAUGGGCGAAAGCCUGAUCCAGCCAUGCCGCGUGUGUGAAGAAGGUCUUCGGAUUGUAAAGCACUUUAAGUUGGGAGGAAGGGUUGUAGAUUAAUACUCUGCAAUCUUGACGUUACCGACAGAAUAAGCACCGGCUAACUCUGUGCCAGCCGCCGCAGUAA
rnacentral:rRNA from 1 species